AAUGCACCAAUUUGUAAGUCGCUCUGGAUAACAGCAUCUGCUAAAUGACGUAAA
rfam:Salmo salar isolate Sally breed double haploid chromosome ssa06, whole genome shotgun sequence.